rnacentral:rRNA from 1 species
GAGCGGUAACAGGGGGAGCUUGCUCCCCGCUGACGAGCGGCGGACGGGUGAGUAAUGCAUAGGAAACUGCCCAGUAGUGGGGGAUAGCCCGGGGAAACCCGGAUUAAUACCGCAUACGCCCUUUGGGGGAAAGCAGGGGAUCUUCGGACCUUGCGCUAUUGGAUGUGCCUAUGUCGGAUUAGCUAGUUGGUGGGGUAAGAGCCUACCAAGGCGACGAUCCGUAGCUGGUCUGAGAGGAUGAUCAGCCACAUCGGGACUGAGACACGGCCCGAACUCUACGGGAGGCAGCAGUGGGGAAUAUUGGACAAUGGGGGCAACCCUGAUCCAGCCAUGCCGCGUGUGUGAAGAAGGCUUUCGGGUUGUAAAGCACUUUCAGUGAGGAGGAAAACCUUACGACUAAUAKUCGUGAGGCUUGACAUUACUCACAGAAGAAGCACCGGCUAACUCCGUGCACAGCAGCCGCGGUAAUACGGAGGRKRCAACGCGUUAAUCGAAAUUACUGGGCGUAAAGCGCGCGUAGGUGGUUUGAUAAGCGAGAUGUGAAAGCCCCGGGCUCAACCUGGGAACGGCAUUUCGAACUGUCAGGCUAGAGUAUGGUAGAGGAGUGUGGAAUUUCCUGUGUAGCGGUGAAAUGCGUAGAUAUAGGAA